rnacentral:rRNA from 1 species
UAAUACGUAGGGUGCAAGCGUUGUCCGGGAAUUAUUGGGCGUAAAGAGCUCGUAGGCGGUCUGUCGCGUCGAAUGUGAAAAUCCGGGGCUCAACUCCGGACCUGCAUUCGAUACGGGCAGACUAGAGUUCGGUAGGGGAGACUGGAAUUCCUGGUGUAGCGGUGAAAUGCGCAGAUAUCAGGAGGAACACCGGUGGCGAAGGCGGGUCUCUGGGCCGAUACUGACGCUGAGGAGCGAAAGCGUGGGGAGCGAACAGGAUUAGAUACCCUGGUAGUCCACGCCGUAAACGGUGGGAACUAGGUGUGGGGGUCCUUCCACGACCUCUGUGCCGCAGCUAACGCAUUAAGUUCCCCGCCUGGGGAGUACGGCCGCAAGGCUAAAACUCAAAGGAAUUGACGGGGGCCCGCACAAGCGGCGGAGCAUGCUGAUUAAUUCGAUGCAACGCGAAGAACCUUACCAAGGCUUGACAUGUACAGGAAACUUCCAGAGAUGGUUGCCCCGCAAGGUCUGUAUACAGGUGGUGCAUGGU